rnacentral:tRNA from 1 species
ACUUUCUUAAUAUAACCAAUAUAGAUGACUUCCAAUUAUCCCAUCUUGGUGAAACUCCAAGGGAAAGUA